AAGGCCUGAUGUGUGUGAGAUUACCCGCUGAAUUUAAGCAUAUAAGUAAGCGGAGGAAAAGAAACUAACUAGGAUUCCCUUAGUAAUGGCGAAUGAACAGGGAUCAGCUCAGUGCCAAAUCGGAAUCACUUGUGGUUCUGAAAUGUGGCUUGAAGGCAGUACCAGUGGCAUCGCGGACGAAAGUCUCUUGGAAAAGAGCGUCAUAGAGGGUGAGAAUCCCGUGAGUCGUUCGCCGUUUGUCACGUACGGUCUGCGUUCUAACGAGUCGCGUUCCUUGGGAUUGGAGCGUAAACGGGUGGUAAAUUUCAUCCAAAGCAAAAUAUAUACUCGAGACCGAUAGCACAAAAGUACCGUGAGGGAAAGGUGAAAAGAACUUUGAGAAGAGGGUUAAAUAGUGCCUGAAAUCGUUGAGAAGGAAGCGGAUGCCGCCGUUGCAUAUGCUGAUUGUAGGAUUGCUGCUCGCUCCUGUCUUCUGCUACUCAUUCACAGACCUGGUCGUGUUGAGCAGUUGUUUGGCAGAUGUUAGUGGGUGUUUCCUACUUUCAGUCGUCAGCAUCACUGGCUGAGUGGAAAUAAUCCUUGGAUGCUAAUUGGUUCGCUAUCUGUGAAUUGGUUGCUCCCU
rnacentral:ncRNA from 1 species